CUUUGGGAGGCCGAGGCAGGUGGAUCACCUGAGAUCAGGAGUUCGAGACCAGCCCGGCCAACAUAGUAAAACCCCAUCUUUACUGAAAGUACAAAAAUUAGCUGGGCGUGGUGGCUCAUGCCUGUAAUCCCAGCUACUCGGGAGGCUGAGGCAGGAGAAUCACUUGAACCGGGGAGGUAGAGGUUUGCAGUGAACCAAGAUUG
rnacentral:lncRNA from 10 species